CAGCCGCCGCGGUAAUACGUAGGGGGCAAGCGUUGUCCGGAAUUGUUGGGCGUAAAGCGCGCGCAGGCGGUUUUUUAAGUCUGGUGUCUAAGUGCGGGGCUCAACCCCGUGACGCACUGGAAACUGGGAGACUUGAGUGCAGAAGAGGAGAGCGGAAUUCCACGUGUAGCGGUGAAAUGCGUAGAGAUGUGGAGGAACACCAGUGGCGAAGGCGGCUCUCUGGACGGUAACUGACGCUGAGGCGCGAAAGCGUGGGGAGCAAACAGGAUUAGAUACCCCCGUAGUCCCUGUCUCUUAUACA
rnacentral:rRNA from 1 species